AUUGAACGCUGGCGGCAUGCCUUACAUAUGCAAGUCGAACGGUAACAGGUCUUCGGAUGCUGACGAGUGGCGAACGGGUGAGUAAUACAUCGGAACGUGCCUAGUAGUGGGGGAUAACUACUCGAAAGAGUGGCUAAUACCGCAUGAGAUCUACGGAUGAAAGCAGGGGAUCGCAAGACCUUGUGCUACUAGAGCGGCCGAUGGCAGAUUAGGUAGUUGGUGGGAUAAAAGCUUACUAAGCCGACGAUCUGUAGCUGGUCUGAGAGGACGAUCAGCCACACUGGGACUGAGACACGGCCCAGACUCCUACGGGAGGCAGCAGUGGGGAAUUUUGGACAAUGGGCGCAAGCCUGAUCCAGCAAUGCCGCGUGCAGGAGGAAGGCCUUCGGGUUGUAAACUGCUUUUGUACGGAACGGAAAGCCCCGGGUUAAUACCCUGGGGUCAUGACGGUACCGUAAGAAUAGGCACCGGCUAACUACGUGCCAGCAGCCGCGGUAA
rnacentral:rRNA from 1 species